rnacentral:snRNA from 1 species
CUACUCACUUUGGCAGCACAUAUAUUAAAAUUGGAAAGAUACAGAGAAGAUCAGCACGGCCCCUGCACAAGGGUGACAUGCAAAUUCAUGAAGCAUUCCAUAUUUUU